rnacentral:rRNA from 1 species
UACCAGCUCUCCGAGUGGUAGGGAUGAUUAUUGGGCUUAAAGCGUCCGUAGCCGGCUUAGCAAGUCUCCUGUUAAAUUCAGCGACCUAAUCGUUGAGCCGCGGGAGAUACUACUAGGCUAGGAGGCGGGAGAGGUCGACGGUACUUCUGGGGGUAGGGGUGAAAUCCUAUAAUCCCGGGAGGACCACCAGUGGCGAAGGCUGUCGACUAGAACGCGCUCGACGGUGAGGGACGAAAGCGUGGGGGAGCGAACCGGAUUAGAUACCCGGGUAGUCCCAGCUGUAAACGAUGCGGGCUAGGUGUUGGGGUGGCUACGUGCCACUUCAGUGCCGCAGGGAAGCCAUUAAGCCCGCCGCCUGGGGAGUACGGCCGCAAGGCUGAAACUUAAAGGAAUUGGCGGGGGAGCACCACAAGGCGUGAAGCUUGCGGUUC